rnacentral:rRNA from 1 species
CCUACGGGAGGCUGCAGUGGGGAAUAUUGGGCAAUGGGCGAAAGCCUGACCCAGCAACGCCGCGUGAAGGAAGAAGGCUUUCGGGUUGUAAACUUCUUUUGACAGGGAAGUGCAGAAGACGGUACCUACCGAUUAAGCUACGGCUAAUUACGUGCCAGCAGCUGCGGUAAUACGUAGGUGGCAAGUGUUGUCCGGAUUUACUGGGUGUAAAGGGCGUGUAGCCGGGCUGACAAGUCAGAUGUGAAAUCUGGGGGCUCAACCCCCGAACUGCAUUUGAAACUGUGUAACUUGAGUACAGGAGGGGCAGGCGGAAUUCCUGGUGUAGCGGUGAAAUGCGUAGAUAUCAGGAGGAACACCGACGGCGAAGGCAGCCUGCUGGACUGAAACUGACGUUGAGGCUCGAAAGCGUGGGGAGCAAACAGGAUUAGAUACCCUAGUAGUC